UAUUUUAUUAGAUAAUAAAAAGCUAUCAUUAUUCAAUAAAAUUCUUAAAUUUAAUAUUCAACAUUUCAUAAAAAUGUUUUGAGUUAAGAAAAAAAAUAUCAUAUAAAACUUAAAAAUUAUUAGACAAAUAUAACAAAAUAAAAAAAUAAUUAAAAAUGUAUUAAAAAUAAACUAAUUUAAUUUUAAAACAGUAAUCUUACCCUAAC
rnacentral:lncRNA from 1 species